UCUAAAAUUAACCUCCAAUUACGAAAUUUUUUAGAGUGCAAGAAAAUCAAUGUCUAGAAAAUUUAUGAGAAAACUUAUGUUGGUGAUCCUGAUGGAGAUGAUUAUGCUCCUCCAUGCCUCUUCACAUCCCAUCAUCAGCAUCCAUUAUCCCCCUAAUGGCCAUCAUUGCCUUCAAAUCACACUUGAAAAAUGUAAAGAAAUACCAAAAAUCAUGGAAUUAGAGGAGUGUAUUAUCUCUAAUUUUUUCCAAUGCAUUUAUAAGAGCCCAAGUACAAUUCCAAUCUUGAAGCUUUAUGCUAUUGCGGUAACCUGCAUCAGGUCUUGUUACCAAUUUCCCAAACGUACUCAUGGCGUCCAAAGUGCAUAUUGUUUAUUAGACUGUUAUCAAAAGCACAUCAAGGAGCUUUGAGAUGUUGUUUGUUUGGGUAAGUAGGGCAACAUCAUAGGUUGUGGAGCGGGAUCGUGGAUUUGGUGUGGACAACUCCUAGCUUUAUUGUUCAUUUUAUUUAUGUUUCUCUUGAGUUAAAUAUGUACAUGUAGAUAUAGUGUUUUAUAAUAUUAGAGUAAUGUAAGAAAUUUUAUUUUUAUCCUAUAAUUAUCGUACAAUGCUGACGUGACAUAUUUGACCAA